UGGGGAAUUUUGGACAAUGGGCGAAAGCCUGAUCCAGCAAUGCCGCGUGUGUGAAGAAGGCCUUCGGGUUGUAAAGCACUUUUGUCCGGAAAGAAAUCCUUGGCUCUAAUACAGUCGGGGGAUGACGGUACCGGAAGAAUAAGCACCGGCUAACUACGUGCCAGCAGCCGCGGUAAUACGUAGGGUGCAAGCGUUAAUCGGAAUUACUGGGCGUAAAGCGUGCGCAGGCGGUUUGCUAAGACCGAUGUGAAAUCCCCGGGCUCAACCUGGGGACUGCAUUGGUGACUGGCAGGCUAGAGUAUGGCAGAGGGGGGUAGAAUUCCACGUGUAGCAGUGAAAUGCGUAGAGAUGUGGAGGAAUACCGAUGGCGAAGGCAGCCCCCUGGGCCAAUACUGACGCUCAUGCACGAAAGCGUGGGGAGCAAAACAGGAUUAGAUACCCUGGUAGUCCACGCCCUAAAACGAUGUCAACUAGUUGUUGGGGGUUCAUUUCCUUAGUAACGUAGCUAACGCGUGAAGUUGACCGCCUGGGGAGUACGGUCGCAAGAUUAAAACUUAAAUGAAUUGACGGGGUCAUAGCUG
rnacentral:rRNA from 1 species